ACAAGAAGAACGAAAUCCAUUACCAUAGCUGGAAAGAGCAUCUUAAUACAAGAAGAACGAAAUCCAUUACCAUGACUGGAAAGAUCAUCUUAAUACAAGAAGAACGAAAUCCAUUACCAUAGCUGGAAAGAGUAUCUUAAUACAAGAAGAACGAAAUCCAUUACCAUGACUGGAAAGAUCAUCUUAAUACAAGAAGAACGAAAUCCAUUACCAUAGCUGGAAAGAG